rnacentral:lncRNA from 1 species
GGGGGAGCCUGCUUUAGAGGCUUCAAAAAAUCUAUUUUUUUUUUUUUUGCAUAAAUGUCUUCCCAAACUAUCCAAGAAUGUGUCCCUAAAAUUUCAGACGCAAAUUCGAAAUAUUUUCGGAGUUACAGAAGAAAUAGUGAGCAAGCGUCGAGCAGGUAUACGAGCGGUUUUUUGAAGUUUUCAACCAGUUUUUUGAAGAGUCUGAACCAGUUUUUUGAAGUUUUGAACCAGUUUUUUGAAGAGUCUGAAGGGCAACUCUAUGGACCAGGAAUCGCUGAUUAGCAUAUUAAUGCGGUGGAAAUUGCGACCUGCACCUUUCCCGCCGCACGACAAAUGCACACUCGAGACGCCUCGGUGAAAUGCUUGUACCAGGCAUAAUAUGACAUAUAUCUUAAUGAAAAAAUUUAAGAAGACUGCUGAAAUAUAUAACAAUAAAACCUGAAA